rnacentral:rRNA from 1 species
GUUGACCUCGGAUCAGGUAGGGAUACCCGCUGAACUUAAGCAUAUCAAUAAGCGGGAGGAAUG